AGUAAGAAGAAGAAGAAGAAGAUGCUUCACUCGCUCAACAAGGUGUCUAGAGACCUCUAAUACAGCAUGGCGUCCGAUGAACCUAAACCCAAGAGGAUUAAACUCGAGGAAAAAAAGCUCAGUCAAAAUGCCCUUUUCGGGAUGGGAAACCCCCUGCUUGACAUCUGUGCUGUGGUGGACAAAGACUUUCUAGACAAGUAUGGACUCAAGCCAAAUGACCAGAUAUUAGCAGAGGAGAAACACAAGGAAAUAUUCAACCUUGGGAGAACAGGCACAGUGGAAGCUUAGAGAACAGAAUAAGUAAUGACACUUUCGUCUUCCUGGGAUGUGGCUCACCGUGAAAUGGGCUAUUGAUUUUAAACAGAUAAACUGUUCUCUUUUGUGUUGAGAAAUUACUGAACAAUUUAAUUAGGGCUGAAACAACAAUAUUUAUUACCAGUUUUUCGCUCCGAUCCACCCCCUCCCCACUUUUUUUUUUUCCCAUGAAGUCCUCAGUGUCCUUGUAAACUACCAGAAUAAUUAAACAAACCGUGUUGCUUCGCUUGGUGUUGCUGAUUAGCAGCCUUACCCAAGAGAGGAAGAAAAGAGGGAAAUUAUAUCCAUUGAUCACGCUGCUAAUUCCUGAAGGUCUGGAAGAAUUGCCGCACCAGAUGACUCUGUUGAAAUGAGGAUUGACGGCCGCUUUUACAUUUGGUGUCGUCCUGCAUUGUUUGUGUCAUCCCAGUUAGUCUGUUAGCUAUUUGUCUAAAUAUAGCCUUCAGUGCCAAUCAAAUGGAAAACUUGAGAGAUUUCGACAGUGAAUUCUUGUGGAGAAAACGCUUGUCUUUCAGAUCUUCCUGUAGUUUUGAGUUUUUGAAGUACUGAUUCCUGUUGGCAAAUGAGUCUUACUAUCAUUGGUAAACUCAAUCAGUUUUACUUAGUUUGAUUACAUGUGGGUUUUGUG